GAGAGUUGAUCCUGGCUCAGGAUGAACGCUAGCUACAGGCUUAACACAUGCAAGUCGAGGGGCAGCAUGAUCUUAGCUUGCUAAGAUUGAUGGCGACCGGCGCACGGGUGAGUAACGCGUAUCCAACCUUCCCUAUAGUAGGGGAUAGCCCGUAGAAAUGCGGAUUAAUACCCUAUGUUGUAUUUUGAGGACAUCUGACGAAUACCAAAGGUUCACCGCUAUAGGAUGGGGAUGCGUCUGAUUAGGUUGUUGGCGGGUAACGGCCCACCAAGCCUACGAUCAGUAGGGGUUCUGAGAGGAAGGUCCCCCACAUUGGAACUGAGACACGGUCCAAACUCCUACGGGAGGCAGCAGUGAGGAAUAUUGGUCAAUGGGCGAGAGCCUGAACCAGCCAAGUAGCGUGCAGGAUGACGGCCCUAUGGGUUGUAAACUGCUUUUAUGCGGGGAUAAAGUGAGGGACGUGUCCCUUAUUGUAGGUACCGCAUGAAUAAGGACCGGCUAAUUCCGUGCCAGCCGCAGC
rnacentral:rRNA from 1 species